CCGACAUGGGCCACAAUGACGGACAAAUUGGUGGGCAUCUGCAAACAUUAUUGGCCACAAAUAACCAACCUAUAAAGCUUUACGAGCCGUUGUCGUAAUGUGUGAAGUCUUGCUUGAGAAUGCUCCGAGCACCUGGUUUUAGAAGAAAGAAUAGAAAUUGUGAUAACAAAAUCUUAAAUAGAAUACUAACAAUAUUCUAAUUAGACUAUAAUAAUGGUAAACAAACGUAAUCAAAUUCAAAACAACUCAAAGAAAUUUCAAACAAACAAUAAAAUUCUUAAAAAAUAUUAGAAUGAUCACAAAUUUUACUCAAAUAUAUGUCAAUUCAACCUUAAUUUAAUUCUAGUUAAAACCCUAUUGAAUUUCACUUAACUUUAGACCAAACCUAAUUUAAUCUUAAAUCCUAAUAAUUCCUAAAUCCUAAGUCAAAUCCUAAACAAAUCUUAAAUUAAACCCUAUUCCAAAUCCUAAAUCCUAAAUCAAAUCCUAAACCAAACCCUAAUCCAAUCCUAAAUCCUAAUCCAAACCUUAAAAUAAAUCCUAACCAAAUCUUAAUCCAAAUCCUAAAUCAAACCCUAAUCAAAUCUUAAACCCUAAUUCAAACCCUAAUCCAAACCCUAAUCUAAAUCCUAAUUCAACCCUAAAUUCUAAUCCAAAUCCUAAAUCCUAAACCAAAUCCUAAUCCAACCCUAAACUCUAACCCAAAUCCUAAAUCCUAAACCAAACCUUAAUCCAAACCCUAAUCCAAUCCUAAACUCUAAUCCAAAUCCUAAAUCCUAAACCAAACCUUAAAUAAAAUCCUAACCAAAUCCUAAUCCAAACUCUAAAUCAAACCCUAAUCAAAUCCUAAUCCAACGCUAAACUCUAAUCCAAAUCCUAAAUCCUAUGACAGAUUUAAAUCUCAAUAUUUAAUGAAUAAACUGUUGAUCUCAAUUCAAAAUUUGCACACUUCUUAAAAAUCAAGUUCAAAACUAGCAAAUUUUUUUGAAAAGGAUCGGAGUUACUAAAUUGACGAAAACCUCAAAAAUGUGUUUGGGUGUUAGCCGGCCUCCUUCUCCAAUCUUGUUGCUAACCUUCCAGAGCCAAUUUCUCUUCUGUACAUCGUUCGAUUGGUUUCAAAUUUCUCAUGAACAUAGAAAAAUAAGUCUAAUAUCCUCUUACAUAAGUUUUACUCCAAUCCAACUAGUAGAUUGUAUGAAAUCUUAAAAACCCUCACUAGACCUAAAAUUCUACUUUCUCAGACCUUGACUCACUUAAACCUCAAUAUCACUUAGUUCAACCGUUAGAUCAAGCUCAAAUUCACAACAUGUAUUCAACACAACUAUGACUAUGAACCCAAAAAGAUUCACCCGUGGAUCUGCAACAAAACUCUUGAAAUCACUCAAAACAUAAACCCUAUUUUAUUUCAUAAAAUCCAAGUCAUCCGAAAAAAAAAUUCAACUUUGCAAAGCUCUUACAAAUUCAUAUCAACUCCAAAUUACCCAAAAUCAAUGCCCAUAGAAACCCUAUU
rnacentral:lncRNA from 1 species